GAGAGAAAGAGAGGUGCUCUGUUUUUCCCCUUCGUUCUUUCGUUAUUCUCUGGGUCUUCGCGUCCUUCUCUUCUAGUUCUGCCACCUCUGACCACCGCCGUUCGACACGCCAUCGACGGGAGUAGAAACUCCGCUUGCCGUUACUGUGACAUCGCCGAGAUCUCUUCCUUCUUUCCUGCUCUGUGUUUUCCGUAAACCACUGUAUUGUGGUACAAAUCGGGAUUUGGAAGAAGAAGAUUUUGAUAGGAACUAAAAAGGGAGAAAAUCUUUGAAAAUUUGGGAACACCACAGAUAGUGUAGUUGACGUUGAAUCACCCACUGAACAUUGAGGAGUUUUUGAUUGAUUAGAAGCGGAGGAGCUAAGGAUUUAACUUUCUCUUGACGUAAAGUUUUGAUUAUGAAAUUUUAUUUUGUAAACUUAUUGUUAGGUGCUCCACAUAGUCUGUGGUCAGUUUUUUUUUAUGUGUUUAUAUAUUUUAUCUGUCAGCUGGAAGGAGCUCUACCCUUGAUUGGCUUGAUAUUUUGGUUGAAAUAUUGUCUUGUAGAAUUUUUGGGAGAUCUUAUUUACGGAGGAGAUUCUGUCGAAAUUUCUACAAAAAUAUUGAGACUUUUAUUACUACUAAAAAUGUUUACGUAUGUUCUAAUUCAAACUAAAACAUAAUUAUCUUUUAGUUAUGAAAAGAUUACCCAAUUCGAGGCUUAAGGGAUGUGUGAUGGAUCACAUCCUUUGCCGGUCACCCUUUAUUUUUGGGGUGUGACACCAUGGCACGGGUGACAUAGCAUUAAUGGCAACGAAGCUUGAGGAUGGUAAUCAUGAGCAUGGUGACAUAGAAAGAGCCCAAUACUUCCAAUCCAACGUACCUAAAGACCCAUUACAACAUAUUGAAGGUUCAAUGAUAAGAGCUCGAACUAAAGCCAUGAAGCAAGCCUUGUUCUGUCUUGUGCAAGAAGUUCAAGAGCUUGGAGAGCAUUGGGGCACUCCUCUCAAGCCCAAAGGAGAGCAUCUAUACGUGUAUAAUGUAUUUAAGAUCCAAAUUUAUGAAGAGUCAAGCCCAAGAGAUGCAGACCUUAGCCCAAUGCAAGGAAGACUACAAGUUGAGCCUCUUGCAAGCAAGGAGGCAUGAAACCCUAGUGAAGAAGUUAAGGGUGGCAUGAUUUUAAAUCCUUUAUGAUCCCUUGAUUGUCUCCUAAAUUAUUUCCUAUUUUAAUGGUUCUUUGAUUUGAUUUUUUAUUUUAAGUCUAGUCAAAAGUUAGAAUUAAUUAUAGUAUUAAUUUCUAAAUUUUGUAAUCCCAUAAUUUCAGGAUCACAUUUCCUAAAUUAUGUGGCUGAAUAUUCUAUCAUUAUUUUAUAUUAUUUCUCCUUUUAGUAUUAGGAAAUUAGGGUUUUAAUUUUAGGAAAUAUUCUUUUCUAUGAGCCUAUAUAAAUUAAGCAUGCUCCCUAUUGUAAACAAUACAGAAGUUGAAUGAAAUUAUUCAUUUUAGAGUUUAUAACUCUUGUGAGCCUUAGUGCUUUGUGGUGGCAUCCCGUGUGAGAAACAAACGUGAUCAAAAGCGUGAUCAACUCUUGCGGUGUCUUCGAAGGUUGAGGUUCCUAGAGGCAAGUGCUCUAGAGGAUCUUCGCUUUGAUCAUUAUCCUAUUGUUUACUUCAUACCUUUCUUUAUUUCCAUCAUAAAUUUCAUCCCUUUCCUUUUGUUCUUGUGUUUUUGUUGUUUCAGGGUUAUGUCCCUAAACUAGCAUGAUUUUACUUCCGCGUCCCCUAUCAAGAUCUCUAGUAUUUUCAUCUGAGUCUUGAACCAAACCUCCACACGCUACUUGCUGAUUAUAUUUAACGAAGACAUCUACAUCAAUUAGUACAAAAUGUGCAGCUACAGGUAUCCACUUAGUUUGGCCAAUCGAGUUUCUUGGAGGAUCAUAUUUUGAAAACUUCCAUUUGAAAUGUCCUCUUGAAGCAAAGCUGUACGCGGGGUACAAUUUCCUUUGUGGUUGGCGUGUGCUCCUCAAAGUUUUUUCCAUUUAUCAGUUUUUUGAACGUCCUAUGUCUGCAUAUUACUUUGAUGAAUCCUCUCCGUGUUACUAUUAGACUCAACGCCCUAUAUCUCUAGUAUCUAUUGUGAGACAAGUAUUGUAUCUAACUUUAGCAUUUUUGUCUCAGCCUCAUGUCUCAUCUGUACUAAAAUCUUUUCUUCUUGCUCUGUUCUUUUCAACAUCUGCUUGUGCAACGGGAGCUACAGGAACUUAAGCACAUUUACAAUUGGUCACUUUGUCACCGGCCAUUAAACUAGAUGAUUAUAAUUAAAGCAAUUAUUAUAUGAAUGGGAUUGAGCGUGUGAUUCUUUUUGGUUUAUUUAGCAGUAAAUCAGUUGCUCAAUUCUUUUUUGUUGGUGUUGGGGUAGAUAUGUAGACUGGUAGAGAUGAAUCCAGAUGUUCAAUCCCUUCAAGUGAAUUAUGAGAAGCAUAAAUCUGUGUUUUAGUCUAAAAAUACACGUCCUUCUCUUCUGCUUCUAUAGAGGUGCUUAUGGUAUUUACGCAGCUUUAGUUGUACCAAUGCCAUGUUUAGUUUACUCUUUAAUAUAUUUUACUCAAUUACAUGAUUGAUUACAUGUUUGAUCUCUCUGCAACA